UUAACGGAGAGUUUGAUCCUGGCUCAGUACGAACGCUGGCGGCGUGCUUAACACAUGCAAGUCGAACGGUGAAGGUGGAGCUUGCUCCGCUGGAUCAGUGGCGAACGGGUGAGUAACACGUGGGUAACCUGCCCCUCACUUCGGGAUAACUCCGGGAAACCGGGGCUAAUACCGGAUAUGACCUCCUUGGGCAUCCUUGGAGGUGGAAAGUUUUUCGGUGAGGGAUGGACCCGCGGCCUAUCAGCUUGUUGGUGAGGUAACGGCUCACCAAGGCGACGACGGGUAGCCGGCCUGAGAGGGCGACCGGCCACACUGGGACUGAGACACGGCCCAGACUCCUACGGGA
rnacentral:rRNA from 1 species